rnacentral:lncRNA from 1 species
GAGUUAGGUAGUCAUGUCUACCAAUGACACCAAAUCCUGAGUUGGUAAAUGCAAAAAGGGAUUGUGAGGAGCUCUAAAAAGAUCUCUCCAAGCUAGGUGAACGAGUGUUCAAAUGGCAAAUGGGAUUCAAAAUAAGCAAGUGUAAAAGUGAUGCACAUUGGGGCAAUAAAUAAAUCCUAAUUACCUUAUACAGUGACUGGCCAGGGAAGAGAUAUUGGGCCAUGGUGGGAUAGUUCAACGAAAAUGUUGACCCAGCAUGCAGCAGCUGUGAAAAAGGUGAACUCCAAUCUAGGGAUCAUUAGGAAAUGAAUUGAAAAUAAAACUGCCAAGAUCCUAAUUCCAUUCUACAAAUCUAUGGGACAAUGCACUUGAAAUAAUGGGUGCAGUUCUAAUUGCCAUACCUCAAAAAAGACAUCAUAGAGGUAGAAAAGGUGCCAUAAACUGCAACCAAAUUAAUCAGAGAUGUAGUGACUCUCCUAAGAGGAAACGUCAUGGGAUUUAGAUUAGAAAAAUGGCACACAAGUGGGGACAUGGUAGAGGUGUAUAAAAAUGGAUGUUGUGGAGGAAGUAAAUCAAAGCUAUUCUCCCCCUUUCAUAAUACUAGAACUCAGAGACAAUGAAGUGGAAUGUUGAAAGAUUUAGAACAUAUAAAAGGAAGUACUUAUUCACAUAGUACAUUGUUUAACUGUGGAGUUCAUUGAUAUAGGAUGUUGUGAAGGCCACCAACUUGGAUGGCUUUAAAAGGGGGUUAGAUAAAUUCGUGGAGAAUAAGGCUACCAAUGACUACUAGUCACGAUGACUGUGGGCAGAUCUACACGCGUCCUUUAUAGCAUUAAAAUACAUUAUUAAAAUGUAUAAAACCAGAGGGUGCUGCAGACCAGCAAACCACCAGCAAUGGGAAACUGCCUUAAAGGUUUUGAACGUUAUUAAAUAUAACAUUCUAUAAGAUCAUUGUAGAUCCAGCCUGUGUCAGAAGCAGUAUGCUACUUAACACCAGUUACCGGGGAAGUCUCUCUCAACUUCUCAUUUUUUCAAGCUUAAAUUCAGUUUUCCACAUUAGUGGGGGGGGGGGGAGUCCUCAUAAAAAUUCUUCAGCAUUUUAGUGCAAUUUACCCUGAUAUGCACAUUUUUGUACGCAGCUUUCCCUACGCAUUUUUCUAUGUCAUUUUCUCGAACAUAUGCAAUUUAAUGCACAUUUUGUACGCUUCAUUUGGAUGCAGAAUGGCAUUGAAAAAUUCAGGGAAGUGACAGUUUCAAAGUACGCUGCUUUUCAGUUUGCACUUUGUUUUAAAAUUGUGCACUAGAAUCACUUUUAAAUGCACAUUGCACAGUAUUUCUUCCCCACCCUUAGUCACUGCCACCAUAGCUAGUGUUCAGGGAUGAUGGUAGUUGUACUCCUGCAACAUCUAGAGUGUCACAGGUCCCCCACCCCUGCUGUACCCUAUAGUGAGCAUCCAUUUACCUCUGCAUUUUCUAUCACUAGCGAAAUAAAUACAAUUCCAGGAGGCCAGUUAGCGUUACAUUUUCUGUUGGCAGGAAAUGAAUACAGUGCACAAAGCGGAGGUAGAAUUAGCAUCUUUCAUAGAAAGGGAUGGCAGAUAUAAGAAGUGGAUGGAUGUUUAAUUAUGCAAAUAGAGUUCUCAGAUCUGAUAAUGCAGUGACAUGAAACUGUCUUCACUGCAUAGUCUAAAACAUAUGACGAGGAAGAUUUUAUCCCUAGGCUCUGUCUUUGGAAGGUUUUUUUUUAAAAAAAGAUAUAUAUAUAAUUUCUAGGAGGGCUGGUCCCUUUAAAAGCACCAAGAAAAAUACAUCUGAGAUUUUAAUAUGCCUUGCUGCUGCCAAGCCCCAUUCAUAAUGACAACUGAAGUAGGCAGACAGUUCUGUCUCCUGUGCAUUUAUUAAUUUGAAGAGGGAAAAAAAAUGUCAGUGGGAAAGUUUUAUAACUAGCUCUAGGAGAUUAAAUUUUGUAUAAAAUAUUGGGCCCAACUCGGCCUAACUUAAAACUCUUAUCAGUCUGAUUAAUUUGAAAGAGCAAGAUUUAAUCUCAGUUGAUUAAAAAUAACAUGGCUGUACCAAUCCAUUGUCAUUUGACUCCAAUUCAAAUGUACCCCAAGAAAUCCAUACAAAUAAAAUACCUGCCGGAGGUAAUUAAGCAUGACACCAUUAGCAGGUUAGAAAAUGAUGUCUUUACUAGAAAAGGGGUCUCAAUAUAACAAUAUUGAGUUGUUGGAGUCCACAAUACCCCAAUGUAAAGGACAAAAACAUACACAAACAAUAUGUUAUCAUUAUUCACCUUUAGGCGCCAGGCGAAAACAUUACUUUGACUGAUUAGCGUCCUAUGUGCUUUUAAAUGUAUUUGUGGGAGAGGGGGUUAUUGGUUUGGUUUAUUUUUGUUCUUGUUUUUAUUAUGUAUUUUGUGUUUUUGUCUUGUAUUUUUAUGCUGUGAACCACCCUGAUAUCUUCAGAUGAAGGGCAGAAUACAAAUUUAAUAAAUAAUUAAAAAUUAAAAAUCUAACUGAUCCCACUGGUUUUUAAACACACCAAAAAUGUGUCAUUAACAUACAUAAAAUAUAACCGUUUAUAUGUAGCUUAUUUGUCUGAUUAUCACAUCUGUGAGAAUUUUCUGAGGCGUAAGAACAUUCCUAUAAUAAAGUGGACCUUGACUGGAUCUUGUUGAGGAAAUAUUCACCUGUAGACUUUGAACCCAAGUGCCACAUGAAUUGAACACUUCAAUGGACCUCUUGUGUUUCUUGCAAAAUUGCCCAGUGAGACUGUGGUGACUUUAAGAAAGACUUGGGGAUUUUGGAGCCUGAACUCAAUAAGCCUAACUGCUAGCAUGUGACUGUGAUUACACUAUACCUAUACAAGAGUAGGGAAGAACUUUAAAUAUUAAGGGUCAUAGCAUCAAACUUAGUCGGAGUGAUUUGGGCACCAGUGGGGAGGAUACGUCAGUCACCAACAGAAAAAGGUUUGUAUUAAUCCUAUGUAAUAUAAUUUGAAUGCUAGUGUUGUUUGUACGAAGGAGAAUAAAAAGAGGUUUGUAUUAACUUUAAUUAAUUUAAUCUGAACACUUUGACUACAUGUUUAUAUAGUCUACCUGAUUGGGUCACCAAUAAGGCUAGUGGUUUAUCAGUGAGGGAAACCGGUAAUUGAUGGGAGCUGUUAUGUAUAAAUAUAUUUGCAGAUGUAUAACCGAAGAAGCAAAUAAUGGAAGAAAGAUAAAUAUUGGGAAUCCUUGUUAUCUAUCCGAGAAGCAAGUUUUGUAAAAUAGUAAGCUCCUGUGAAAGUUUCCUCAGUGGAGAACAUGUUUUAGAAAAUGAAAAGCUCCUGUAAAAAUAACAAGAUAAAAUUUUGUUGGAGCAAAUCUCAUUGUAGUAAUUUAUAAGCUAUGGCCUGCACAGGUUGUUUUCUCCUUCUCCCUCCCUCUCUCUCUUUUUGCAAAUCAAGCAGCCUAGGCACAAUCACCAUAAUUCACAAUUCCAGGAGCAGAACAGGCAAAACAGUUACAUUAAGCACAUUGUUGCUGUGAUGUUUUGUAACUGCAUCACUCGCACAGAUGGCACUUCCCUCUCUCUUUUUGGUAUCGGCAAUGGCAAGCCAUUCCAGUUCUGAGACUGCUCUCCUGUUGUCCCAGACAAGCUGGCCUCAGCCCAGGGUUUGUUUGAUCACCUCUCUUCUAGGAAAAGACAUCUUUGGGGAUGCUGACAGCAUUGUGGGUUGUUCGGCUUCUUCCUGUAUACUGUCUUAUUGUACAUUUUAAUUAAGGAUGUUUUAAUGAUACUGUGGGUUUUAAUUAUGGAUUGAUGUUAUAGUUGUAAACUGCUUAGAAGCCAUUUUGGUAUAUAAGUUAUAUAAAACAAAUUUUCCUGGAAAUUCCACUUUCUGUUUAUUUUCUCAUGUGCCAGUCUAAUCCUUCAAGAGCAGAGAAAGGUGAAAGAGCAAUACUUUCCCCACUUCCUAUUUCACCUUUAUAUUCUUUGGAAAUCUCACAUCAGCAGCUUGAGUGGGGAGCUAAACCUUGAAAAGUAUAUAGAGUUGAAAUAAGAAGUAGGAAAGAUUGUCAAUCUUCUGUACUUCUUCUUUAACCUCCAUCUGCUCUUCACAGGGGGCCAGUGCCGGAUUUACAUAAAAGCUAAACAAGCUAUAACUUAGGUGCCCCCCCCCAAAAAAAACUAAAGGAAAAAAACACUGGAUGUACAUUUCC